rnacentral:snRNA from 1 species
AUAUUUACCUGGUAGGGGAGACACCAUGAUCACAAAGGUAAUUUUUCCAGGACAAGCCUCAUCUAAUAUAGAGCAGACAUCGUGAUCUUGCUAUUUUUCCAAAUGUGGGAAACUCAGCUGUAGAAUUUGUGGUAGUGGGGACUGCUUUUAUGCUUUCCUAUU